UACGAAGGAUGCGAGCGUUAUCCGGAUUUAUUGGGUUUAAAGGGAGCGUAGGCGGUCUUAUAAGUCAGUGGUGAAAUCCUAUCGCUUAACGAUAGACGUGCCAUUGAUACUGUAGGACUUGAGUACAGAUGCCGUUGGCGGAAUGUGUCAUGUAGCGGUGAAAUGCUUAGAUAUGUAUUAGAACACCGAUUGCGAAGGCAGUUCACUAGGCGUGUAUUGACACUGAGGCUCGAAAGCGUGGGGAUCAAACAGG
rnacentral:rRNA from 1 species